rfam:Candidatus Wildermuthbacteria bacterium RIFCSPHIGHO2_02_FTLL_49_9 rifcsphigho2_02_scaffold_31807, whole genome shotgun sequence.
GGCUCGCUGUGAGUAAAGUUGCAGCUUCUUGGAGCAAUCCAGGUUGAAAAACGGGGUUAAUUGCGGGAAACCUAAAGCGAAAGCCAAGGCAAUCCGCAGCCAAGGGAUGUAACAUUUUGCCUUGCAAAAUUGUACGUUCAAGGUUCAGAGACUAUACGCCCCGCACCCCUUUGGGGUGAUGAGAUAGUCCACGCCAGUAUGAAAGUAUUGG